rnacentral:rRNA from 1 species
CCCAGACUCCUACGGGAGGCAGCAGUGGGGAAUAUUGCACAAUGGGGGAAACCCUGAUGCAGCGACGCCGCGUGAGUGAAGAAGUAUUUCGGUAUGUAAAGCUCUCUCAGCAGGGAAGAUAAUGACGGUACCUGACUAAGAAGCCCCGGCUAACUACGUGCCAGCAGCCGCGGUAAUACGUAGGGGGCAAGCGUUAUCCGGAUUUACUGGGUGUAAAGGGUGCGCAGGUGGCAGGGCAAGUCAGAUGUGAAAGCCCGGGGCUCAACCCCGGUAUUGCAUUUGAAACUGUCCGGCUAGAGUGCAGGAGAGGUAAGCGGAAUUCCUAGUGUAGCGGUGAAAUGCGUAGAUAUUAGGAGGAACACCAGUGGCGAAGGCGGCUUACUGGACUGUAACUGACACUGAGGCACGAAAGCGUGGGGAGCAAACAGGACUAGAUACCCCUGUACA